CCAGAUCAGGAGUCACAUGUUCUUCCAGCUGAGCCAGCCAGGCGCCCCAGGCUCUUCUAUCCAGCUCAUCUUUUAACUCAGGCUGAUGGAAACCAAAAGCACCCCUCAAGUGAUAGUGACCACCCUGACAAGACCUCCUGCCAACCCAGGCCAUCCAGACCAAUAUGACCAUAACCCUGGACUGGCGCCUGCACAGAUGGACCAUGGAGUGACCUGCAGAAUGACUGACAACUUCCUUUACCUCACUAUAAUACUGAAACUUCUGCUCAAGGAUGAGCACAAGCCUCAUUUACAUAACACAAUGUGUGAUAUAGGCACGUUUCCUUAAGUUGCAUGCACUGCCUUAUGUUCCCCUUUACAUUCCAUGACAAGGCUUCCCUAUCUAAAUGUUCAUCCCAACCCUAAAUAAAAGGAACCCAUUUACCCUUGGCUCGA